CAGUAGCCGCGGUAAAACGGAGGGGGCUAGCGUUGUUCGGAAUUACUGGGCGUAAAGCGCGCGUAGGCGGUUACUCAAGUCAGAGGUGAAAGCCCGGGGCUCAACCCCGGAACUGCCUUUGAAACUAGGUGACUAGAAUCUUGGAGAGGUCAGUGGAAUUCCGAGUGUAGAGGUGAAAUUCGUAGAUAUUCGGAAGAACACCAGUGGCGAAGGCGACUGACUGGACAAGUAUUGACGCUGAGGCACGAAAGCGUGGGGAGCAAACAGGAUUAGAUACCCCAGUAGUCCCUGUCUCUUAUAC
rnacentral:rRNA from 1 species